CAGAAGUUAGUUAAAAUUAUAACAUGAAUUUGUCGUAUUUAAAUCAUCUUUCUAGAUACUUCUUA
rnacentral:tRNA from 1 species